ensembl:misc_RNA 7SK 7SK RNA
GAUUGUGAGGGCGAUCUGGCUGUGACAUCUGUCACCCUGUUGAUCACCAGGGUUGAUUCAGCUGAUCUGGCUGGCGAGGCAGGUGUCCCCCUCCUCCCUCACCGCUCCGUGUGCGUCCCCCAACAAAGCCGCACACUCGGUCAAAGGUGACGGCCUUCCCGGAUAGAGGAGGACUGUUCUUCGGUCAAGGGUAUAUGAGUAGCUGAGCUUCCCUGCUCGAACCUUCAAACAAGCUCUCAGGGUCCAUUCAUAGGAGAAUGUCAUGUGGUCAAGCUUCUAAGACUGCAGACGCACCCAAAUGAGGCGCUGCCUGUGGCAAACUGCCUCGCUUU